rnacentral:rRNA from 1 species
UGGGGAAUCUUAGACAAUGGGGGAAACCCUGAUCUAGCCAUGCCGCGUGAGCGAUGAAGGCCUUAGGGUUGUAAAGCUCUUUCAGUGGGGAAGAUAAUGACGGUACCCACAGAAGAAGCCCCGGCUAACUCCGUGCCAGCAGCCGCGGUAAUACGGAGGGGGCUAGCGUUGUUCGGAAUUACUGGGCGUAAAGCGCACGUAGGCGGAUCAGAAAGUCAGAGGUGAAAUCCCAGGGCUCAACCUUGGAACUGCCUUUGAAACUCCUGAUCUUGAGGUCGAGAGAGGUGAGUGGAAUUCCGAGUGUAGAGGUGAAAUUCGUAGAUAUUCGGAGGAACACCAGUGGCGAAGGCGGCUCACUGGCUCGAUACUGACGCUGAGGUGCGAAAGCGUGGGGAGCAAACA